CUAUCUUUGUCUCUCUGUGUGCCAGAAAAAUGAAGUUUAAAUCUCUACGUGGUCACGUUGCUGAUGCAAAAGAUGUAGUUGUAGCAGAAGAGCUGGUAUCGUCGUAUCCAGGAAGGGGGUGUGUGUGUGUUUGGCACUUGGCAUGCUGUAAAGGACUUUACCGAAGGUAGAAGUGUACAACGGUGUACAACAUCUGUGUGCCUCUCUCUAUUUUCCUGGAAGUGGGCCCUGGAUUGAAGGUGACCGUUCUGGAGCCAUCGAAGACAGACUGAGUAUACGCGCAGGCGCCUGACGCACCCACUGACCCGGGAGGCACAUACUGGGAGAUGCACAGUAGGGAGCUGGAUGCGGAAGAGAGGAGGCGAACAGAGCGUCAUGAGAAGGUGCCAGAAGUGGAGGUGGCCACUGCAUCCGGGCUUACUAGAGUGGAGCCAGCGGAAGUUCGCAGCGCUUCUGAGGAGGGUGCAGUUGCAGAAGAAGUCAGCAUCGAGUGGUGUGACGCAGACUGAUGGCGGUCCGUGUUCGGAGAUGAUGAAGAGGAUCUUUGUGACUGCAGCAGCAUAUUAGAGGCAGAGGAGGAGUUGUUCAGGGUGACAGAGGAAAGCCGGGGAAAUGCUGUAAGAAGGUGAUGGGUGAGCCUCAAAGUGGCAGCUGGAACUGACAGAGGCUGGGCAGGCAAGCUGUCAAAGAAAAGAUGUG